CGAAAGCCUGACGGAGCAACGCCGCGUGAGUGAUGAAGGCCCUUGGGUCGUAAAGCUCUUUUGUCAGGGACGAUAAUGACGGUACCUGAUGAAUAAGCAUCGGCUAACUCUGUGCCAGCAGCCGCGGUAAUACAGAGGAUGCAAGCGUUAUCCGGAUUUAUUGGGCGUAAAGCGUCCGCAGGUGGCUACUCAAGUCUGCCGUCAAAGCUCGGAGCUUAACUCCGAAUCGGCGGUGGAAACUGAGCAGCUAGAGUGCAGUAGGGGUAGAGGGAAUUCCCAGUGUAGCGGUGAAAUGCGUAGAGAUUGGGAAGAACACCGGUGGCGAAAGCGCUCUACUGGGCCGCAACUGACACUGAUGGACGAAAGCUAG
rnacentral:rRNA from 1 species